GUUAUUAAUGCCUGAUUUCAUUGUUUAUGGGUUUAAAAUGAAACUAGUUCCAUAAAUCUACGUUCAAGAAUGAUCCUCUGGCUAUCUUUGUUUGAAAAUAAUAAUGUAGCUCUAGAUCUAUUGUUUUAACUUUCACGUCUAUCUGUACCAGAAUGAAAGGACCUCUUCAAAUUCAACACAUAAAACUGAUACACUGGACUAUAGGUCUCAUUGUUUCAUUGUCUCAAGUUAGUUGCCAAGAAGAAUGCCCCGAGAACUAUUUUGGUCCGAAUUGCAGAUUCAGGUGUAACUACUGCCAACCGAGAUGCUCUCCAGAAGAAUGUGGCAAAAAUAUUUGCGCUCGUGGAUUUUUCGGAUACCUUUGCCAGUACCGUGAUCUGGCCACUCAUUGGGGAGUACCUAUAACAAUUUAUAACGACGGCGAUGAAACCACGUGUCAGACCAAUAACUCAGUGACAACAGCUACAAUACCCUUUCAGGCUACGAGGAUAACAUUCUUCAUUUUUACAAUAGACAGUUCUA
rnacentral:sRNA from 1 species